rnacentral:rRNA from 1 species
GAUGAACGCUGGCGGCGUGCCUAAUACAUGCAAGUCGAGCGAACGGACGAGAAGCUUGCUUCUCUGAUGUUAGCGGCGGACGGGUGAGUAACACGUGGAUAACCUCCCUAUAAGACUGGGAUAACUUCGGGAAACCGUAGCUAAUACCGGAUAAUAUUUUGAACCGCAUGGUUCAAAAUUGAAAGACGGUCUUGCUGUCACUUAUAGAUGGAUCCGCGCUGCAUUAGCUAGUUGGUAAGGUAACGGCUUACCAAGGCAACGAUGCAUAGCCGACCUGAGAGGGUGAACGGCAAAACUGGAAAUGAGACACGGUCCAGACUCCUACGGGAGGCAGCAGUAGGGAAUCUUCCGCAAUGGGCGAAAGCCUGACGGAGCAACGCCGCGUGAGUGAUGAAGGUCUUCGGAUCGUAAAACUCUGUUAUUAGGGAAGAACAUAUGUGUAAGUAACUGUGCACAUCUUGACGGUACCUAAUCAGAAAGCCACGGCUAACUACGUG